GUUUCAAAUCGAUUUGGACCAAUUUUGAGUCAUUUAUGACAUUUCUGGGCCAUUUUUAAGUAAUUCAGGACGUGUUUAAAGUUGUUUGGAUAUUUCUGAGUUAUUCUGGACAAGUUUCAAGUCAAGUUGGAGUCGUAUGGAACAUUUUUUAUUCAUUUGAGCCGUAUUAUGAUGUCAGGAGGUAAUUUGCUGCCUGUUCUAAAAUGAGAUUUAAUUUUGUCUUCUUGUUUCCACAGAAACUCUCCCAGCUUCAGGUCCUUCGAGGAGAAAGUCGAGACGACAGUUUCUACUAUUAAGACCAAAGUGGGAGGAACAGGAAGCGGCGGCAGCUUCGAGGACGUCCUCUCGUCCGCCGCCAACGCCACCUCUCAGGACACGCCCACCAACGACCUGACGGACGGCUCCGAGCGGCCGUGUUAGGACUGAAACCCUAAAACAACCCAAAAAAAACGCUCUGCAGACAAUCAGAAGUCUUCCGAUGCCCGGAUGGAAACUUCCCCCCCCCACCAAAAAAAACCUAAUUAGAAAUAAAGCUGGUUGUUGACGUGA